ACAGUGGACGCGAGCAUCUGUGGCCAAGUUUUUAAGGGCGCACGGUGGAUGCCUUGGCACCAGGAACCGAUGAAGGACGUGGGAGGCCGCGAUAGUCCCCGGGGAGUCGUCAACCAGGCUUUGAUCCGGGGGUUUCCGAAUGGGGAAACCCGGCAGUCGUCAUGGGCUGUCACCUACUGCUGAACACAUAGGCAGUGUGGAGGGAACGCGGGGAAGUGAAACAUCUCAGUACCCGCAGGAAGAGAAAACAACCGUGAUUCCGGGAGUAGUGGCGAGCGAAACUGGAUGAGGCCAAACCUACGACGUGUGAGACCCGGCAGGGGUUGCGUCGUGGGGGUUGUGGGAUCUCUCUUCGAAACAGCCCAGAGCAUCGACUAAGGCCCCUAAGCGUACGCUAAGUGGGAAAGGAUGUGGAGUCGCAGAGACAACCAGGAGGUUGGCUUAGAAGCAGCCACCCUUGAAAGAGUGCGUAAUAGCUCACUGGUCUAGUGAUUCCGCGCCGACAAUGUAGCGGGGCUCAAGCGUACCGCCGAAGUCGUGUCAUUCAUACAUAUAGCCCCAACGGGUGUAUGGAUGGGUAGGGGAGCGUCGUCUGCCGGGUGAAGCGGCACUGGAAGGUAGUCGUGGACGGUUGACGAGUGAGAAUGCAGGCAUGAGUAGCGAUACAAACGUGAGAAACGUUUGCGCCGAUUGACUAAGGGUUCCUGGGUCAAGCUGAUCUGCCCAGGGUAAGUCGGGACCUAAGGCGAGGCCGACAGGCGUAGUCGAUGGAUAACCGGUUGAUAUUCCGGUACCCGCUGUGAAGCGUCAAACAUCGAGCAUCGUGAUGCUAAGGCCGUGAAGCCGUUCCGGACCCUUCGGGGAAAGGAAAGUGGUGGAGCCGCCGAACCAAGCGGUUAGUAGGUGAGUGAUGGGGUGACGCAGGAAGGUAGUCCAUCCCGGGCGGUGGUUGUCCCGGGGUAAGGGUGUAGCCCGAGUGGUAGGCAAAUCCGCCACUCAUGCAGGGUGAGACCUGAUGCCGAGCCGAUUGUGGUGAAGUGGAUGAUCCUAUGCUGUCGAGAAAAGCCUCUAGCGAGUUUCAUGGCGGCCCGUACCCUAAACCGACUCAGGUGGUCAGGUAGAGAAUACCGAGGCGUUCGGGUGAACUAUGGUUAAGGAACUCGGCAAAAUGCCCCCGUAACUUCGGGAGAAGGGGGGCCACAUCCGGUGAUGAGCUUCGCGCUCUGAGCUGGGGGUGGCCGCAGAGACCAGCGAGAAGCGACUGUUUACUAAAAACACAGGUCCGUGCGAAGCCGUAAGGCGAUGUAUACGGACUGACGCCUGCCCGGUGCUGGAACGUUAAGGGGACCGGUUAGCUCACUUUCGGGUGGGCGAAGCUGAGAACUUAAGCGCCAGUAAACGGCGGUGGUAACUAUAACCAUCCUAAGGUAGCGAAAUUCCUUGUCGGGUAAGUUCCGACCUGCACGAAUGGCGUAACGACUUCUCGACUGUCUCAACCAUAGGCCCGGUGAAAUUGCACUACGAGUAAAGAUGCUCGUUUCGCGCAGCAGGACGGAAAGACCCCGGGACCUUUACUACAGUUUGAUAUUGGUGUUCGGUUCGGCUUGUGUAGGAUAGCUGGGAGACUGUGAAGCAGGCACGCCAGUGUUUGUGGAGUCGUCGUUGAAAUACCAGUCUGGUCGUGCUGGAUGUCUAACCUGGGUCCGUGAUCCGGAUCAGGGACAGUGUCUGAUGGGUAGUUUAACUGGGGCGGUUGCCUCCUAAAGGGUAACGGAGGCGCCCAAAGGUUCCCUCAGCCUGGUUGGCAAUCAGGUGUUGAGUGUAAGUGCACAAGGGAGCUUGACUGUGAGACCGACGGGUCGAGCAGGGACGAAAGUCGGGACUAGUGAUCCGGCGGUGGCUUGUGGAAGCGCCGUCGCUCAACGGAUAAAAGGUACCCCGGGGAUAACAGGCUGAUCUUCCCCAAGAGUCCAUAUCGACGGGAUGGUUUGGCACCUCGAUGUCGGCUCGUCGCAUCCUGGGGCUGGAGUCGGUCCCAAGGGUUGGGCUGUUCGCCCAUUAAAGCGGUACGCGAGCUGGGUUUAGAACGUCGUGAGACAGUUCGGUCCCUAUCCGCUGUGCGCGUAGGAGUCUUGAGAAGGGCUGUCCCUAGUACGAGAGGACCGGGACGGACGAACCUCUGGUGUGCCAGUUGUUCUGCCAAGGGCAUGGCUGGUUGGCUACGUUCGGGAGGGAUAACCGCUGAAAGCAUCUAAGCGGGAAGCCUGCUUCGAGAUGAGGACUCCCACCCACUUGAUGGGGUAAGGCUCCCAGUAGACGACUGGGUUGAUAGGCCGGAUCUGGAAGCACGGUAACGUGUGGAGGUGACCGGUACUAAUAGGCCGAGGGCUUGUCCUCAGUUG
rnacentral:rRNA from 1 species